rnacentral:rRNA from 1 species
GCACAAGCGGUGGAGCAUGUGGUUUAAUUCGACGCAACGCGAAGAACCUUACCAGGUCUUGACCAUCCCCUGACAACCCGAGAGAUCGGGCGUUCCCCUUCGGGGGACAGGGUGACAGGUGGUGCAUGGUUGUCGUCAGCUCGUGUCGUGAGAUGUUGGGUUAAGUCCCGCAACGAGCGCAACCCUCGCCUCUAGUUGCCAGCAUUCGGUUGGGCACUCUAGAGGGACUGCCGGCGACAAGUCGGAGGAAGGUGGGGAUGACGUCAAAUCAUCAUGCCCCUUAUGACCUGGGCUACACACGUGCUACAAUGGGCGGUACAAAGGGUCGCGAACCCGCGAGGGGGAGCCAAUCCCAAAAAGCCGCUCUCAGUUCGGAUUGCAGGCUGCAACUCGCCUGCAUGAAGCCGGAAUCGCUAGUAAUCGCGGAUCAGCAUGCCGCGGUGAAUACGUUCCCGGGCCUU